rnacentral:rRNA from 1 species
CCUACGGGUGGCUGCAGUGGGGAAUUUUGGACAAUGGGGGAAACCCUGAUCCAGCCAUUCCGCGUGAGUGAAGAAGGCCUUCGGGUUGUAAAGCUCUUUUGUCCGGAACGAAACGGUCGUGGUGAAUAUCCGCGACUACUGACGGUACCGGAAGAAUAAGCACCGGCUAACUACGUGCCAGCAGCCGCGGUAAUACGUAGGGUGCGAGCGUUAAUCGGAAUUACUGGGCGUAGUUUUGGCAGCCAGGUGUGAAAUCCCCGGGCUUAACCUGGGAAUGGCAUUUGGGACUGCAAGGCUUGAGGAUGGCAGAGGGGGCUAGAAUUCCUGGUGUAGCAGUGAAAUGCGUAGAUAUCAGGAGGAAUACCGAUGGCGAAGGCAGGCCCCUGGGUUAAUACUGACGCUCAUGCACGAAAGCGUGGGGAGCAAACAGGAUUAGAUACCCUAGUAGUC